CACUCUCCUAGUAAUUGAUCCUCCCUAGCACAACCUUGUAACCUUCACAGAACCAGAUAGAUUGUUACUCUCUUAUAUUUUGAUGACCUUUGCAAAAAUCCAUGUAAAUUUAACAUUGAAUGAUUUUUUUUUUUAAAAUAUAUUACUUGGAUUCAGUCAAUCCAAGGCUUAUCCUUGUAUAGUAUUUAUAUAAAAUAGCAUAUUUAUGUUUCUACAAAUAAAUCCAACAAAAAGGUUCAUAGAAGUUAUAUUAAUGAGGGGACUAGUUCAACAACAAAAUAAAAUACAGUGAAAACAUUACAAUUCAAAAUUCAGCAUCACUCAUAAACGAUAGGAUAGUAUCAAGUUUUAUAACAGAUAUAUAUAUAGCACAAACACACACAGAUGGAGAGUAAAUCAAAAACAUUAAAAGGCAAAUAAUACAAACCAGGAGAAGUGAAACUAUAAACCAACACAAGUUGAAAAUAACUCUCAAAGGGAAGAAGAUACACACAUCAUCUUCUUCUUCUUAUUCCAUCCCACUUAGAAAGAAAUGCCAAAGGAUCCGAGCGAGUUGCCCUAUUCAUAAAGAUAGGAGAACCCACUUGCUGAGACAGCGGGUUCCUAGCUUCCUUAGGUUCUUCAUAGAAGAGCCAACACCACCUGUCAUAUUCUGGUGUUGUGGAGCGAGGGUUUCAUAUGAUGCUUUUAUGCUCUCUUUUAUAGACCCGCACACAUAGUUACC
rnacentral:lncRNA from 1 species